AUAAAACAGAGACCAGAAGAGUCACAUCAGUUUAACUUUAACCUCUUUAACUAAACAAUGGUGAAUUAUGUGAUCAUUUCUCUGUUUUUCAUAGCAUUUGAUUUUGGUGUGAUGGCUGUGGAUCAGAUUGGGCCAAAUAAAGGUGCAGAUAUUAAUGCUGGAGAAGGAGAGACUGUGACUCUGAGCUGCUCAUAUGAUACCAGCAGCAGUGGUGUUAGACUUUACUGGUACAGACAACAUCCUAACAGUGAACCUCAGUAUUUAAUAUGGAAAGACGCUCGCUCAUGGAACUGGGUUGGGAGUGAUACUGGUACUCCCACUGAUCCUCGGUUUAAGUCGACUACAUCACGAACAUCCAAUGAACUCACUAUUACUGGUGUAACUCUGUCAGAUUCAGCUCUAUAUUACUGUGCCAUGUGGAGCCCAAUCUUCAGCAUCUAA